rnacentral:piRNA from 2 species
UAAUUUUCUCCAGAGCCGAGCAGUA